AGAACGAACGCUGGCGGCAUGCCUAACACAUGCAAGUCGAACGAGACCUUCGGGUAUAGUGGCGGACGGGUGAGUAACACGUAGUCAACCUACCCUAAAGUGGGGAAUAACCCCUCGAAAGAGGAGCUAAUACCGCAUACGCUCUCUUAUGACAGUAGGAGAGGAAACGAUAGCUGUGAAAAGCUAUGGGCUUAAGGAUGGGACUGCGGCGGAUUAGCUAGAUGGUGGGUAACGGCCUACCAUGGCGACGAUCCGUAGCUGGUCUGAGAGGACGACCAGCCACACUGGGACUGAGACACGGCCCAGACUCCUACGGGAGGCAGCAGUGAGGAAUAUUCACAAUGGGCGCAAGCCUGAUGGAGCGACGCCGCGUGGGGGGAAGAAGCCUUUCGGGGUGUAAAACCUCUUUUCUUCGGGAUGAUACGUACCCUUCGGGUACUAAGACAGUACCGAAGGAAUAAGCAUCGGCUAACUACGUGCCAGCAGCCGC
rnacentral:rRNA from 1 species